rnacentral:rRNA from 1 species
GUGAUCUGCCCUGCACUUCGGGAUAAGCCUGGGAAACUGGGUCUAAUACCGGAUAUACCUCAUGGACUGCAUGGUUUGUGGGGGAAAGCUUUUGCGGUGUGGGAUGGGCCCGCGGCCUAUCAGCUUGUUGGUGAGGUUAUGGCUUACCAAGGCGACGACGGGUAGCCGGCCUGAGAGGGUGACCGGCCACACUGGGACUGAGAUACGGCCCAGACUCUACGGGAGGCAGCAGUGGGGAAUAUUGCACAAUGGGCGCAAGCCUGAUGCAGCGACGCCGCGUGAGGGAUGACGGCCUUCGGGUUGUAAACCUCUUUCAGCAGGGACGAAGCGCAAGUGACGGUACCUGUAGAAGAAGCACCGGCCAACUACGUGCCAGCAGCCGCGGUAAUACGUAGGGUGCGAGCGUUGUCCGGAAUUACUGGGCGUAAAGAGCUCGUAGGUGGUUUGUCGCGUCGUUCGUGAAAACUCACA